GGCGGCGUGCUUAACACAUGCAAGUCGAGCGGAAAGGCCCCUUCGGGGGUACUCGAGCGGCGAACGGGUGAGUAACACGUGAGCAACCUGCCCCUGACUUUGGGAUAAGCCCGGGAAACUGGGUCUAAUACCGGAUAUGACCACUUCGCGCAUGUGGGGUGGUGGAAAGUUUUUCGGUUGGGGAUGGGCUCGCGGCCUAUCAGCUUGUUGGUGGGGUGAUGGCCUACCAAGGCGACGACGGGUAACCGGCCUGAGAGGGCGACCGGUCACACUGGGACUGAGACACGGCCCAGACUCCUACGGGAGGCAGCAGUGGGGAAUAUUGCGCAAUGGGCGGAAGCCUGACGCAGCGACGCCGCGUGGGGGAUGACGGCCUUCGGGUUGUAAACCUCUUUCAGCAGGGACGAAGGGUGACUGACGGUACCUGCAGAAGAAGCGCCGGCUAACUACGUGCCAGCAGCCGCGGUAAUACGUAGGGCGCAAGCGUUGUCCGGAAUUAUUGGGCGUAAAGAGCUCGUAGGCGGUUUGUCGCGUCUGUCGUGAAAGCCCACGGCUUAACCGUGGGUCUGCGGUGGAUACGGGCAGACUAGAGGCAGGUAGGGGAGAAUGGAAUUCCCGGUGUAGCGGUGAAAUGCGCAGAUAUCGGGAGGAACACCGGUGGCGAAGGCGGUUCUCUGGGCCUGUACUGACGCUGAGGAGCGAAAGCGUGGGGAGCGAACAGGAUUAGAUACCCUGGUAGUCCACGCCGUAAACGUUGGGCGCUAGGUGUGGGGUUCUUCCACGGAUUCCGCGCCGUAGCUAACGCAUUAAGCGCCCCNCCUGGGGAGUACGGCCGC
rnacentral:rRNA from 1 species